GUGCUCACUUGGGCAGCACAUACACUACAACUAGGAUACAGACAGGAUUAGCAUGGCCCAGGUGCGAGGAUGACACACAGGUUCAUGAAGAAGUACCAUAUAAA